UACCUGCAGCUCGAGUGGUAACCGCUAUUAUUGGGCCUAAAGCGUCCGUAGCCGGUUUGGUAAAUAUCUGGGUAAAUCGUGAGGCUUAACUUCACGAAUUUCGGAUAGACUGCCAGACUUGGGAUCGGGGGAGGUCAGAGGUACUCCAGGGGUAGCGGUGAAAUGUUGUAAUCCUUGGAGGACCACCGGUAGCGAAGGCGUCUGACUAGAACGAGUCCGACGGUGAGGGACGAAGCCCUGGGGCGCAAACCGGAUUAGAUACCCGGGUAGUCCAGGGUGUAAACGAUGUGGGCUUUGUAUUGGAGGUCCCACGUGGGCGUCCAGUGCAGAAGAGAAGUUGUUAAGCCCACCGCCUGGGAAGUACGUCGCAAGGCUGAAACUUAAAGGAAUUGGCGGGGGAGCACAGCAACGGGAGGAGCGUGCGGUUU
rnacentral:rRNA from 1 species